UGUCCUGGCCAGGAAAGGAGCCCACAGGGAAGAACCAGGUCUCCUCAAUGUAAAAACAGGAAUUUCACAAGAACUCCUGUCGACUUCAGUGUCUCCAGGCUCUCGAGUGACCACAACUCAGAGCCUGACAGUCUGGGUUGGAAGGGGCAGCCCCACAGCUGGAACACACACACGGUAACUUCAGUUUAACAACAAACUCCGGGGUGAAAUUAUUUCCGCUACACACAGCGUUCAUGAAGAUCCUUGAAGAAAGAUUCAUGAAGGAUACUUUGCAAAGCAGAGACCAACUACCAUCUGACUAAAAGAGGGCUGCAAAGGCAAUUCUAGCAGGGCUGGUUUAAAAGAGAGCGGAUCUCGUUCAGAGGCUGUGGGUUUGCAUUUGGGUGUGUCAGCCCCGGAAACCUUGGCUUUACGGAGGGAGAGCUCACCUUUCGGACAUGUUCUCGUCGGAGCCGUGUUUCUGUCCCUCUGCUUCGCACUCCAUCCUUUCUUUCCUUCCUGUUUUGCUUAGGAAAGUCCGACUUUCUGCUGAUUCACACAGCCCAUGGCCAGAUGAGGUCCAGGGAGUAUUCUCCUUCCAUCGGGAUAAACGCUGCUUCUUGGCAGACUUGAACCUGCAGCCUCUCUCAUAGCUCCAAUCUGACACUUUCAGCUUCUGCUGAAGGCUGGCAGCCACCUCGGAUGCCACUCUCUUCACCUUCCGCCGGCGCCUGAGGGGUCGACAAGGCGCAUUUUCCGUAAAGGAGUCAGAUUCAUGCCAAGAGUGCUGCUUACCCCUAACGAUGGCACUGAGAGCUGGGUGCCGUUUGGCCACCACUGUGUCAUCAGAGUCACUGAAGUUGGUGAGCGGAGCCACUUCUCGACAGUCCUUGGUGGCCUCAUCCAGACUUGACUCAGAGGCCUCGCUGAAGCAGCAGGCGUGCUCAGCCAGGUGAGUAAAGUCGGAACGGCGCUUCCGGCCUCGGCGCUUCCGAAGCUGCCGCCUCUGCUGUCUGGGGCUCAGGGCCAUCUCCUCCCACAGCUCACCAAGCUUACUCUGCUCAGAUGUCUGCUCCAAGGCUGAGGCUAAGUCAUGCACCAGCUCAUCCAUGAGGCCACAUCUGCCAAAUAAAAGCAGAAGAGAUGCUUUAAAAGACCUGCUGCUUUUCCAGAAAGCUUAUAAAGCACAUAAUGCUAUUGGGCUCCCUGGCUGGCUACAGAAAAUAGACUUCUUUCAUCAGCUACCGUUUCUACCAUCCACGUACCACAAAAAGCAGGUGUCUGGCCAUUGGCGAGUACUGGAAAUCAACAUAUCCAGUAGCUUGCCAGAUGACAACUAGGACAUUAGCAAAAAUAAACAAAUUGAGCUUCCUCCUUUCUCCAAUUAAGUGAUCCCUUGAUUGCCUAAUCACUGGAGAAGAAAAGCAAACCACACAACUUCAUCAUUACGGUAGAGCCAAGAGAGCACCAGGCAUGAACCAAUCACGAUAGAGGGUCACACUGAGGUCUGGGAUUUCUGCUAAAAAGGUUGCGGUAGGGAGGAGAGAAAGAGCUGAGUGGCACCUAUGAAGAAGACUUCACGAUAUUCAUAGUCCCAGAACUUUCGGUGACCCAAGUAGGUACUCAGAAUGGGGGAAAAAAAAGGAAGCCCACGUCUGGUACUACCAUGGUACCAACUGCCACCUGAAAGUUAUUAGAAACAAACUGCUGUGGAGUAUGACACUGAUUUGAUGUUGCUAGCAUUGUUGUAUUGUUGUUGUUAUAUUAGUAGUAGCAGGAGCAGCAGUGUAGGACUUUUAGACCCCUCAUCCUGGUGGUGGCAGCAGUAGUAGUAAUAGAAACACUAACAGUACUAGUAGUAUAGUGUUGAGUCACCCCAAUUAUGUGCUUAGUGCCAAUCACACAAAAUCUGGGACAUAAAUGAAACCAAAAUGGAGGGACAGCAUAAAAUCUCUAAGAUACCUGGCUAACAGAAGCAACCCUUUCCAGGCAUGCCUAGCAGAGGCAAUUUUCAAAUUUUCGGUUUUCAAAAAGAAAUGUCUAAUAUCAUCUGCACAACACCUAAAUUUUGUAUGCUAAAAUAGCACUUUCUUUCCAGCUCUUGGUAAGCUCAAAAUACAUCUUGCCCAUAAUUGGAGCUUAAAGCUGAACUCAGACCGUAUUUCCCUUCAUGCAAUUUACUUUUUGCAAGGGGCUUUCUAAAAAUUAAUCUCACAGGGUCCCUAUGUCAACAAAUUCAAAAGCAGGAAAAGUCUUCUGGAUUAUGUGUCACACUUGUGAGAGCAAUAGAGCCACCUUGCUCCAAAACCACCACGGCAACUUCCUCAAAGGGUCAAAAGCCUUACACAUAAAAGACCAUUUCCCUUUAGCAACCGGUAGUAGUUUAAAAUGCCAGGACUGCGGUUUGGAAGACAACUGUCCCUAAGCCCGAAGCUGAUAAACAAGUGGGAACAACACGCCUAAGUCUCUAAUAAAGAAUUACAGCUUUGAAACUCAGGCAGAACUGCACAAACUUUAACGUGGGACAAGUAUACUAAACAACGUGUCAUCAGAAGCUGACAUAGAAUUCUUCCGCGUCUCAAAGGUACCCUGGUACACCCACACCUCCAGCCUCACUCUCAAGAGUACACCCUGGAGACCCUGGUCUGAGUCACAGGACGCUGGUGGGCCGCAAAGCAGCGAGCUACUCUCCCAGUCAGAGUAACGAGAGGUGGGGUAGACAGAAGUCAACUUCUUAUUUGAGUUCACCUGAGACUGGAGGUCAGCUGUCUAGGGCAGAAACUGUCUCAAAUCUUGUCCUAAUGACUGCAUUCCCUCUGUUGAUGCUGGGGAGAGAGGUAUCACAGCACCACCACGGAUAUGAAAAAAAGCCGCGUUUUGAAGGACUCUCUUCCAUUUCCAGCCCGUCCUCGGGGGCUAGGGAAACCCUUGCCCGGGACACCAAGCCUGAGUUCUCGCUGUCGCCCAUCUAAGGGACAUUCCCACGGAGGCGGCCGUCCCUCAGAGCCCAGGCUGAGAAGACGCACCUAGGGUAGCCAGGCCCCGCCACCCUCUGUCACUCGCCACAGCCCAGCGGCGCCGUCGGUCGCCCUGACGCAACCCGGAGCCCUUAUCCCGCCCGGCAUUGGCCCAGCCGCCGCCAUCCUGCUCCUCACCGGCUGCCGCAGUCGCUUGCACCCGGCGCCGCCUUCGGGGCCGUAGCUCCCAGCCUGGGUUUCCCUCUCUGACCUCAUUUCCGGUCUGGGCCUAAGAGGUGGGGCUGAAAUGGUAAGGGAGGGGGCGGGCUACAAGAAAGGACAGGCGCCCGCCCUGCACUUCCGCCCUACGGUGCGCCUACUUCCGCUCCACGGUGGGCGGGGCCUCUGGGAAACUAGGAAGUAGUGCCUGGAGGCAAGUCAGGACAGAUGGGCUAGUAUGGGGUGAGGAUACCCUUAGGACUGAAUGAGACAAAACCUCUCCCUAAGGGUGCUGACCUUAAGAAGUGGGUCGUCUGCCUUCACAUUAAGUUACUCAUGACAUUAAAAGUGUACAUGGCUUGAGCAAAAAGCAAAUCAUACUGUAUUAUAACUCAAAGCAUUAAAGAAAUAUUAACUCCAUAUUGAGUGGUUAUUGAUAUUCCAUAUUCUGUAAGUGGAAAAGAGAUACAUUUCCCGUAGAAAUACAUUUCCUGUAGAAGACAUAGGCUCUCUUGGAGCAUUUUGAACUGUGCACAGCAGCUUCUCUCUGAAUAAUGCAAUAUCAAAGGGGUCACUUUAUACUGGAGAAGCUAGCUAGCCUGGUCUAAAGAGUUUGUUCCAGGACAACCAGGACUACACAGAGAAACCCUGUCUCGAA